GUUGUCAUUGUCGUUAGAUUAAUGUGACGACAUCCUAAACUGAUUUUGUGAAAAAAUAAUUAAGAUCACGUGAUGUCUCCAAGACUCAAUGACGUACCGUCACCUGAGGUCUGCUAGUCUGUGGUGCUGUAGCAAGAUAGGACCUCUCAUCAAGAAUCAAACUCCCAGCGAGGUAUGCAGCAAAGAUAUCUCAUUCAGUUUUACAACAACAUUUAUUUUAAUUUUUACACACGAAGAUCGUUGUCGCGACUGUCACGUGUCGCCGGCUGCAGGGGAGGUGGAAGUGCAGGGGCGAGGAGGGGGGCCGGCGGUUAGUGCAGGUAGUUACUAAGUUAUUGUGUUUGGAGGAGAGGGCUGGCGUGUCGUGCAUCUCUCGGCGGAGACAGUUGAGUAGGUAACAGACCCGCUCUGUAGUAUUCGCCAAAAUCGUGAUAAUCGACAUGUUCAACACAUCGUCACUGCAACACUUCUUUACAGAGUAUUAACAAGACCUCAAGAGGAUGACAUGUGUGAUGGUGAGAGUUCACUCGAAACUAGUUCAAGGUUCACUGCAAAUCUCAUUUACGUCCUUGUUGCUGGGCUUUCACACAUCCUUUGAUUUUAUUAACAGAGAGGACGACUGCAACUAUGAGAGAAGGUGGGAGCUUAGUCUCGUGGUGGCUGUGAGGCGUGUUUGGUUGUGGUGUGUCACGUGGCAUGACUGGCCAAUGGAACGUGGGUUUGUACAGAAAGAUCUAGAGAGGCCAACUAAGCGUUUUGGGCUAGAAACUUCUGGGAAGUGACAUCAGCGUCUGGGUCUGUCGCUUGCAGCUUUUGUGGAGUAAAGUUGACUGAAGUCGGCUCAAAGCUGUCUAAGUUCUUCACUGGCUGCCACUGACCGUGACCCAAACAGUUCUGGGACGUCGAGCACGGGAGGCCUCCACGGUCACGUGACUUUGGUGUAACGAGAUAAGUGGCGAGCGUGUGUUGUGAGAAAUAGUGUGUUAUGUGUGUGUGAUUAGAUUUAAGGUUAAUUAAACGGUGAGUCAUUAGAUAUCUGGACACAUUAGAUGCAAGGGGAAACAAUUGGGAAAGGGACGAUCUAGGGGACCAGCCAAGUUAGGGGAGACAACUUAUGACCAAGUUACCUGUUCUGGAGUAUUCCCUGUUAUAUUGGUAAAUUAUAGUAAUCUUUAAAACGUA